CGCCCAACGCUGGCGCCAUCUUGUAGGCUUGUAUUGACCAUCGAAUACCCAAACAGGCCGCGCAGGUACUCGUACACACAUGGGCAGGAGCCUCAAGCUAUGGCCGGCGAGCUCGCCCGUGCCAGUUAUCGAUCUCUCGCCCACGCCCCAUAGCCGCCUCGCCGCCGCCCCAGUGCAUGCCAAGCCGCGCCGGCCUGCCACCGCCCUGCUCCUUAGUCACUCCGCGCGCAGGUUCCUUGUCGUGGCCGCGUCGCGCCGGCCCGCGUUUCCACCGUUGGCCGCGCCGCGUCCAGCUUGCUAUCGUGGUCGCGCCGUGCCCGCGCCCUGCCGUGGUCAUGCCGCGCCCGCUCCAUGUUAUGGUCGUGUCGUGCUCGCUCCCUGCCCGCCAGGCCCGACUCGUUGUCGUGGCCGCGCCAAGCUCCCUGCCCGCCAGGCCCGACUCGUUGUCGUGGCCGCGCCAAGCUCCCUGCCCUGGCCAUGCCCGGCUCCCUGCCGUGGUCGCGCCGCGCCCGCUCACUGUCGUGGCCGCGCCGCACGGGCGCGCGCUUUCGCCAUCAGUCGCGCCACGCUCAGCUCACUGUCAUGGCUGCACCAAGCUCCAUGCCCUGGCUGGUGCGCCGCGGGUGUGAGGAGGAAGGGGACGAGGGGAUAAUGUCUUUUUUAGCAGCGAACGAGGGAAUUAAACACAAUAAGCGUCGCGUUAAGGACGCUCAUUCCCGUGGUACACCUGUCCGAUUUUACUGUGCAUGUUUUACUGUACCGAACGAAACAAGACUUGUUCAUGAUCGCUCGACUGGGUAGCGGGCCGCUUAAUCCCCCCACGCUCAGCGCCCCUCUCCUUCCACUCCCACAGCUAGGGUUAGCGUCGCCGCUGCCCUCCCUGCGCUCGCGCCUAGAGCUUCCGCGCCGCCAUGUCCCCUCGCGCAAGCCGGCCUCACCGCAGAAGAGGGUCGUCCAUGGAGCCUGUAUCCCCGUCGUCGACCUUGCGCACAUGAAAGGUCGCUGCUGCUGGUCGUGGUCACCCAGGUCGACAGAGCGCCCACCGCCCUGCAGCUCAUCAUGGAGCCUUGAACUCAAGGUUAGCGGCGAAGAUGGGCGUCCCUACUGGUGGCCUGCGGAGAAGUACCCGAUGGUGAUGGUGGACGUGGUGGACGAGGAACAUGUCGAGAUCGAGGGUGUCAAGGGCUACUAAUGCAGAGGAGCAAACUGGAAAUUCCACCUGCAUAUUUUAGAGUGUUCAAUUAAAAUCAUAUUUAUUACUGGGUUGGAGCAGAUGGAUUGAUUUCUACAUGCAAAGUAACGCAUCAGGUUGAGUUGAACGUGUGGUACUUUGCACCUUUGGUUAUAUAUAUCUCAUUAGUAUGACUAUUUAUUAGCAUGAUGGUUAUGAUAUAAUGUUGUAAUACAACAAGGAACACAAGUACCUAUACUUAACUAAAUGAUAAAUCACUAACCCUUUUUACUAGAGUUUGCAUUAGGCCAAUCGACAUGCUGCUAUUAGAUCCAAGUACACUCUACAACUCAUGAGUAUUUCUUUAGUAUCUCACUUCUAAUAUGGUGUCUGCUCUGUUCGAGGUUAUGUGUCCUCACUAGCGGUAGCAGCACCUUUGCCAUCGUCCUUCUCUUCUACAUUCACUUUUUUUAAUCCCGUGUUGUUUAGAUAAAAUUUGGUGGUUUAGAUGAAAUUUUAUCGGAGGGUUUCCCAAUCAUUAAUUUUGUGGUGCUAAUUUGUUCUUAAUUUCUUAUGUCUCUAGGUGUCCGCAUUUUCUCUUGUAAACCUCUUUUACUUGCCUAUCUCCCUACCGGUAUACAUGUCUUUAAUGGAUAGUUUAUUAUACAGAGUUUUCUUUCAUAAUUUUUUAAAAAAUUCUCGAUGAAUGACGGGUAGUGUCCUACUAGAAUAUUGGGAAAAUGAAAAUCGACUCUGGUUAUUCACUUAUUCUAGCAUGAUCACUAUCACACUGAGUUUUUUUGCAUGCUGUGACACCAAUAUACUUGUAAUCUUAGUACUGGGUUCUUCUAAAGGAUGAUUUUCUUCUCAUACUACAGCUGGAAUGAUCAAAAUAUGUGAUCUCGAAGUCACUGUUCUUCAUGCUUACUUAUCAUUAUAUUGUUGUCAUUGGAUAUUAUAUAGAGACCAAGACUGCAUAUGGAAGUCAUUUUAUAAGCUUUAGAGUUCCAGCAACGAGAAAGAAAAUUUGCGAUAUCAUGUUUAGUAGGUCUAUAGUUUUCUUACUCCUAUAUUGGGUGUUGCAUAAUGAGCUAAUUGAUAUUGGACAUUAUGUAGAGUCUUAAUUAUCUUCAUUGCAGUAUCACAUUAUUUGACUCUGUUGAUUCAUUGUGCUUGCCAUUAGUAUUGUGAAAACAUCUGCCUUCUUUGCAGUAAUUUUGAAGAUAUAUUUUAUGUGGGUCAUUUUAUAAACUAUGUGAAGGAUGAAGCACGCAUUAUCCCAGACAUCCCUGACUGGUUCGUCGAAAAAGAUCAGCUCUUCACCAGUAUAAAGUAAUUCGAGUUGCGAUCUCAAGAAAAGGACAAUACCCAGUUGGAUUCAUUCACUUCGGCAGUUUUUCAGGUCUUUUGUGUAGUGGCGUACUGUUGUUGGUAACCUUGCAUAGUUAUUUGCGUUUCAAGUGACAAUUCAAAUGCUAACAAUGAUUGGUGUGGGGCUCGGUGGUACAGUUCCCUGACCUUCCAGUCAGCUCUAUAUUUUGUAGAUAUGAAAAACAUGAUGCCAAUCGCACAUAUUACAUUUGAGUUCUCAAGGCUCACAAGAACAAUGGACAAGUUUCUGCGGGUGCUUAUUUACUAUUUUGUUCUAUUCUUCUCCACACUAUUGAAAACCAGCAUACCCCAGACAUGUAAAGAAAGGAAGUUACAGGAUGUUCCACGAGAUGGUCCAAUUGUGGAAUAUGAGAAGAGAAUUGCAUCAGGAGAUAUUGAAGAUGGUGAUAGCUUCCAGGUUAUUGCAUUGGACCUGAUCAAUGCUUUUCUUACAUGAUCUCCUCCAUAUUUGGUUCUGGAUGCAUGGUUUCCAUCUACCCUUGAUAGUGCGCACAUGCACACCAGGACUGAAAAUCGUCAAUGAACAUUGUAAAUCGGCUACUGCGCGUUGGUAGUGCCCCGCCUUCUAAAGACACUGCGGCAUAGUCGCGUCGACCUCAGCGGCAGGCGCAAUGACUGGUUGCACUAUGGCGAGCAGGAACUCUCAAUUGACAAGCGGCCAGUGUUCCAGUUCCACACCCCCCUCGAGCUAGCAAAGAUGACGGCGAGCGUUAGCUCGCGGGGGCAGCAUAGGGCAAUGGGGAUGUUGUAACGCCCCGGAUGCAACUUUCCAUAUUCGUAACUCCAACUCUUGCCUUUUCCGGAGAUGCGUUAUGUUAUUUUCCUCCGUGGUUGGGUUUU